AACGAACGUUGGCGGCGUGGAUUAGGCAUGCAAGUCGCGGGAAUCCCCAGCAAUGGGGGGAACCGGCGUAAGGGGCAAUAAGGCAUAGGUACCUACCGGGAGGUUGGGCAUAGCCCGUAGAGAUACGGGGUAAUUCCCAGCGAUGUCGUAAGACCAAAGCUCCGGCGCCUCCUGAGGGGCCUAUGUGAUAUUAGCUAGUUGGUGGGGUAACGGCCCACCAAGGCGAAGAUGUCUAGCGGGUGUGAGAGCACGACCCGCGCCACUGGCACUGAGACACUGGCCAGACACCUACGGGUGGCUGCAGUCGAGGAUCUUCGGCAAUGGGCGCAAGCCUGACCGAGCGACGUCGCGUGUGCGAUGAAGGCCUUCGGGUUGUAAAGCACUGUCGAGGGGGAGAAAAGCCCCGCAAGGGGUUUGAUCUAUCCCUGGAGGAAGCACGGGCUAAGUUCGUGCCAGCCGCCGCCGUAACAC
rnacentral:rRNA from 1 species